GGGAGACCCAGGUUCAAUCCCUGAGUAGGGAAGAUCCCCCCUGGAGAAGGAAAUAGCAACCCACUCCAGUACUCUUGCCUGGAAAAUCCCAUGGACGGAUGGAGUAGCCUGGUAGGCUACAGUCCAUGGGGUCGCAAAGAGUCGGACAUGACUGAGCGACUUUACUUUCACUUUCAUUGAGCUUGAAUUGUCAGCAGGCACUGAGGCUUAACGCCAAGCAAGGAAGACACAGGAUUCAUUAGAUUCUGGUCAGAAUUUUCUAUAAAUAUGCAGAGUACAUCAUGCAAGAUUCUGGGCUGGAUGAAACACAAGAAAGCUGAGUGCUGAAGAAUGGAUGCUUUUGAACUGUGGUACUGGAGAAGAGUCUUGAGAGUUCCUUGAACUGCAAGGAGAUAAAACCAGUCAAUCGUAAAGGAAAUCAGUUCAGAAUAUUCAUUGGAAGGACUGAUGCUGAAGCUGAAACUCCAAUACUUUGGCCACCUAAUGCAAAGAACUGGCUCAUUGGAAAAGACCCUGAUGCUGGGCAAGAUUGAAGGCAGGAGGAGAAGGGGACAACAGAGAAUGAGAUGGUUGGAUGGCAUCACCGAUCCAAUGGACAUGAGUCUGAACAUGCUCUGGGAGUUGGUGAUGGACAGGGAAGCCUGGCGUGCUUCAGUCCAUGGGGUCACAAAGAGUCGGACAUGACUAAGUGACUGAACUGAACUGAUGGGUGUUAUAUUUGUUUAUGCUCAAUAUCUGAUCUGUGGCAUCUAACUCAUGGUUUGUCACAUAAUAUC
ensembl:lncRNA